rnacentral:tRNA from 1 species
GCCCCCUUCGUCUAUCGGUUAGGACACCAGAUUUUCAAUCUGGUGAGAGGAGUUCGAUUCUCCUAGGGGGCGCCA